CCUACGGAGGCAGCAGUGGGGAAUAUUGGGCAAUGGGCGAAAGCCUGACCCAGCGACGCCGCGUGAGGGACGAAGGCCUUCGGGUUGUAAACCUCUUUCAGCAGGGAAGAAGCGAAAGUGACGGUACCUGCAGAAGAAGCACCGGCUAACUACGUGCCAGCAGCCGCGGUAAUACGUAGGGUGCAAGCGUUGUCCGGAAUUAUUGGGCGUAAAGAGCUCGUAGGUGGUUUGCCACGUCGGAUGUGAAAACCUGAGGCUUAACCUCAGGCCUGCAUUCGAUACGGGCAGACUAGAGUGUGGUAGGGGAGACUGGAAUUCCUGGUGUAGCGGUGAAAUGCGCAGAUAUCAGGAGGAACACCGGUGGCGAAGGCGGGUCUCUGGGCCAUAACUGACACUGAGGAGCGAAAGCGUGGGGAGCAAACAGGAUUAGAUACCCUGGUAGUCCACGCCGUAAACGGUGGGCACUAGAUGUGGGGAACCUUCCACGGUCUCUGCGUCGCNGCACGCAUAGUCGCCGCCGUCGGGUAGGUACGGCCGCGACGACGUAAACCGUACGAACGAAGUUAGUACGGCGNGAGACGUCGCCGACGGACGACCGACGAGGGAGGUAGG
rnacentral:rRNA from 1 species